rnacentral:rRNA from 1 species
GCUCCUUGAGGAAUAUAGUCGUUCCUUCCCGGUGGUGAACUAAACGGAUGCGGUAAACGUGCUAAGGUAGCUAAAUUAUGGCCUAAUAAUGUAGGUCCUGUGAAUGGAUUGACGAGUUUUGUGCUGUCUCAUGUUUGUUUUUGCGAACUUGAAUUGGAUGUUCAAAUGCAUCCGUGUUAAAAAAAGACGAGAAGACCCCGUGAAGUUUUUGGCUGGGGCAGCAAAAGAGCAAAGUUAGACUCUUUUUUUACCGGUGGGUUACGAUCCACAUGAGUGACAAGCAGAAAAAGUUACUCCGGGGAUAACAGCGUAAUCAUCUUUAUAGUUCUUAUAGAAAGGUGGGUUUGCGACCUCGAUGUUGGCUCAGGGUAUCCUAAGGCUGAGGCGGUCUUACGGGUUGGUUCGUCGCCCAUUAAAACCC